rnacentral:misc_RNA from 1 species
UUUCCGUAGGUGAACCUGCGGAAGGAUCAUUCAUAAUAAGUGUUUUAUGGCACUUUUUUAAAUCCAUAUCCCCCUCGUGUGCAAUGUCAGGGUUGAUUUUUCUCUCGAGAUGAUCAGCCCCAAACAUCAACUAUAUCUCAACUCUUUGUCUGAAAAAUAUUAUGAAUAAAACAAUUCAAAAUACAACUUUCAACAACGGAUCUCUUGGCUCUC